AAUGCAAGCCGUCUUAUCGCCCCGACUUGUCGGGGAGGAAAGUCCGGGCAACAUAGAGCGCUGUACUUCCUAACGGGAAGGUUCGCCUAGGCGGAACAGAAAGUGCCACAGAAAAUAAGUAGCCCUGACGAUUAUCGUCAGGGUGAUAGUGAAAAGGCGGGGUAAGAGCCCACCGGUCUCGAAAGUGAUUUCGAACGCAUGGCAAACCUUACAGGUUGAAAGGCCAAAUAAGCCCCGAUCAACAGAGCGGCUCGUUCUUAUCUGCGAAAGCAGAUGUCGGGGUGGGUAGGCUGAUGGAUCCUGGUGGCAACGUCAGGACUAGAUAAAUGAUAAGACCCCGACUAGUUGGGGACAGGACCCGGCUUAUAGGCUUGCAUUAUUU
rnacentral:RNase_P_RNA from 1 species